GUAGGUGGCAAGCGUUGUCCGGAAUUAUUGGGCGUAAAGCGCGCGCAGGCGGUUCUUUAAGUCUGAUGUGAAAGCCCCCGGCUCAACCGUGGAGGGUCAUUGGAAACUGGAGAACUUGAGUACAGAAGAGGAAAGCGGAAUUCCACGUGUAGCGGUGAAAUGCGUAGAGAUGUGGAGGAACACCAGUGGCGAAGGCGGCUUUCUGGUCUGUAACUGACGCUGAGGCGCGAAAGCGUGGGGAGCAAACAGGGAUUAGAUACCCUGGUAGUCCACGCCGUAAACGAUGAGUGCUAAGUGUUAGGGGGUUUCCCGCCCCUUAGUGCUGCAGCUAACGCAUUAAGCACUCCGCCUGGGGAGUACGGCCGCAAGGCUG
rnacentral:rRNA from 1 species